rnacentral:rRNA from 1 species
AGUGAACGCUGGCGGUAGGCCUAACACAUGCAAGUCGAACGGCAGCACAGGAGAGCUUGCUCUCUGGGUGGCGAGUGGCGGACGGGUGAGGAAUACAUCGGAAUCUACUCUGUCGUGGGGGAUAACGUAGGGAAACUUACGCUAAUACCGCAUACGACCUACGGGUGAAAGCAGGGGACCUUCGGGCCUUGCGCGAUUGAAUGAGCCGAUGUCGGAUUAGCUAGUUGGCGGGGUAAAGGCCCACCAAGGCGACGAUCCGUAGCUGGUCUGAGGGGACGAUCAGCCACACUGGAACUGAGACACGGUCCAAACUCCGACGGGAGGCAGCAGUGGGGAAUAUUGGACAAUGGGCGCAAGCCUGAUCCAGCCAUACCGCGUGGGUGAAGAAGGCCUUCGGGUUGUAAAGCCCUUUUGUUGGGAAAGAAAUCCAGCUGGCUAAUACCCGGUUGGGGUGACGGUACCCAAAGAAUAAGCACCGGCUAACUUCGUGCCAGCAGCCGCCGUAA